rnacentral:rRNA from 1 species
GAUGAACGCUGGCGGCGUGCCUAAUACAUGCAAGUCGAGCGAACAGACGAGGAGCUUGCUCCUCUGACGUUAGCGGCGGACGGGUGAGUAACACGUGGAUAACCUACCUAUAAGACUGGGAUAACUUCGGGAAACCGGAGCUAAUACCGGAUAAUAUAUUGAACCGCAUGGUUCAAUAGUGAAAGACGGCUUUGCUGUCACUUAUAGAUGGAUCCGCGCCGCAUUAGCUAGUUGGUAAGGUAACGGCUUACCAAGGCAACGAUGCGUAGCCGACCUGAGAGGGUGAUCGGCCACACUGGAACGGAGACACGGUCCAGACUCCUACGAGAGGCAGCAGUAGGGAAUCUUCCGCAAUGGGCGAAAGCCUGACGGAGCAACGCCGCGUGAGUGAUGAAGGUCUUCGGAUCGUAAAACUCUGUUAUUAGGGAAGAACAAAUGUGUAAGUAACUAUGCACGUCUUGACGGUACCUAAUCAGAAAGCCACGGCUAACUACGUG